rnacentral:lncRNA from 1 species
GCUCAGAACUCUGAUGGGCUUCAGAGUGGAAUGAGAUCACUUAUCAAAUUGGCAACAGGUCCUCUCUGGCCAUCUCCGUAUAGUUUGACCCAAUGAGUUUGGUUCUCCCUUCUUUGUCAAUUCCCCUGUCUCCUGAAUGUCUCAUUCUCAAACUAAUUUUGCUUGAAAUUGUGGCUGGAGAUGGUAUGUUUGAAACUUAAUAUGAUGAACAUAGAACAGGUAAGACAUUAUUCUUCCCCCAUUCAUUCCUAGUCAUUGAUUUUAGUUACAUUUUUAAGUCCAGCUUUCCAAAACUGAAACAUGGGACUGCUUUAAAAGCACAUGACUAAUUUCAUAAUCUGUUCCUUUGCAGUUGGAUUGGUUCAUAGUUGCUUCCCUCAGAUUCAUUCUCUGAGCCAUUCAAUUAAGAUCAGCCUUGGUGCUGGAACCCCACAAGAGAGAAGUAAUACCUUGUCUCUUACCCUGAACUGCAAAAAACUAAA